rnacentral:rRNA from 1 species
GAUGAACGCUAGCGGCAGGCUUAACACAUGCAAGUCGAGGGGCAACACGGGUAGCAAUACCUGGUGGCGACCGGCGCAAGGGUGCGUAACGCGUGAGCAACAUGCCCUAUACAGGGGGAUAAUCCAGGGAAACUUGGUCUAAUAUCCCAUAGUAUUUAGAGGUGGCAUCACCACUAAAUUAAAGCUUCGGUGGUAUAGGAUUGGCUCGCGUGACAUUAGCUGGAUGGUGGGGUAACGGCUCACCAUGGCGAUGAUGUCUAGGGGUUCUGAGAGGAAGACCCCCCACACUGGGACUGAGACACGGCCCAGACUCCUACGGGAGGCAGCAGUGAGGAAUAUUGGACAAUGGAUGGAAAUCUGAUCCAGCCAUGCCGCGUGCAGGAAGACGGCCCUAUGGGUUGUAAAACUGCUUUUAUAUGGGAGCAAUAAGGUUUACGCGUAGACCGAUGAGAGUACCAUAUGAAUAAGCAUCGGCUAACU